rnacentral:rRNA from 1 species
UCCGUAGGUGAACCUGCGGAAGGAUCAUUAAUGAGUCUUGACUUGGGUUGAAGCUGGUCUUUCACAAGGCAAUGUGCUCACCCUUGUUCAAAUCCACUCUACACCUGUGCACUUACUGUAGAUUCUGGGGGUUGGUGGUGUCCCUUUUAACCGGGGGGCUCAAUGCCUCGGGAUCUGUGUUUUAUCACAAACUCUUGUAAAAGUAUCAGAAUGCACUAUUGCAAUAAUAAAUGCAUCUAUAUACAACUUUCAGCAACGGAUCUCUUGGCUCUCGCAUCGAUGAAGAACGCAGCGAAAUGCGAUAAGUAAUGUGAAUUGCAGAAUUCAGUGAAUCAUCGAAUCUUUGAACGCACCUUGCGCUCCUUGGUAUUCCAAGGAGCACGCCUGUUUGAGUGUUGUGUAACUCUCAACCUGCAGACUUACUUGUAAAUCUUGCAGGCUUGGACUUUGGAGGCUUGUCGGCGCAAGUUGGCUCCUCUCAAAUGCAUUAGCUUGGUUCCUUGUGGAUCGGCCUUUGGUGUGAUAAUUGUCUAUGCCAUGACCGUGAAGCGUGAUGGGUUGAGCUUCUAAUUGUCUUGUUAGAGACUAAACUUGUUUACUUGACAUCUGACCUCAAAUCAGGCGGGAUUACCCGCUGAACUUAAGCAUAUCAAUAAGCGGAGGA